UACGAAGGGGGCUAGCGUUGUUCGGAAUUACUGGGCGUAAAGCGCACGUAGGCGGAUUUGUCAGUCAGGGGUGAAAUCCCGAGGCUCAACCUCGGAACUGCCUCCGAUACAGCAAGUCUCGAGUCCGGAAGAGGUGAGUGGAAUUCCUAGUGUAGAGGUGAAAUUCGUAGAUAUUAGGAAGAACACCAGUGGCGAAGGCGGCUCACUGGUCCGGUACUGACGCUGAGGUGAGAAAGCGUGGGGAGCAAACAGG
rnacentral:rRNA from 1 species